rnacentral:rRNA from 1 species
AGAGUUUGAUCCUGGCUCAGAACGAACGCUGGCGGCAGGCCUAACACAUGCAAGUCGAACGUGAAGCCACCUUCGGGUGGUGGAAAGUGGCAGACGGGUGAGUAACGCGUGGGAACGUGCCUUUCGGUUCGGAAUAACCCAGGGAAACUUGGGCUAAUACCGGAUACGCCCUUCGGGGGAAAGAUUCAUCGCCGAAAGAUCGGCCCGCGUCGGAUUAGCUAGUUGGUAGGGUAAUGGCCUACCAAGGCGACGAUCCGUAGCUGGUCUGAGAGGAUGACCAGCCACACUGGGACUGAGACACGGCCCAGACUCCUACGGGGGGCAGCAGUGGGGAAUAUUGGACAAUGGGCGAAAGCCUGAUCCAGCCAUGCCGCGUGGGUGAAGAAGGCCUUAGGGUUGUAAACCCCUUUCAGCGGGGAAGAUAAUGACGGUACCCGCAGAAGAAGCCCCGGCUAACUCCGUGCCAGCAGCCGCGGUA